rnacentral:misc_RNA from 1 species
CAGCACCAGACGCUCCAUCAGCUUGUCGAAGCGCUCGCCGGUCGCGCGCUCCAUGAUUUGCGCAACGAGCGGAAAGUUGA